rnacentral:tRNA from 1 species
UAUAGUGUAUUAUGCACAUAGACCUUUGAAGUCUAAAGAAGACACCCUCUUACUAUAA